CCAACUUGUGUUGGCAGUUGUGUUACAAAUGUACUUCUGACUGUUUUGCUCUUUUUUGGGGAGGGGGAAUCAUGGCUUACUUUGAUACAAAGAUACUGUGUUUCAAAUGAGACCUCCAAUUGUUUUCUUGCUGCAGUUGUGUGUGAGAUUAUUAACUGUAUAGUAACAAGAUGACCCUUAGGACCAUUUCUUCAUGGUCUUCAGAUUCCCUCUCUCUUAUAAUGUGUGUAGAUGGUCAGAAAAUACAUCCACUAAGCUUACAUUCAUUAAGUAAAUGUCUUUCUUACAGAUGUCUGAAAGUUGUCCUUCACUCUCCUCUUCUUUGGUGUACUGUAGUUUGUCAGGACAGUGUUGUUUGUUUUGUUUGCAACUUGUUGUCUUUCUAAGGCAAGAAGGUAACACAGCUUCAACACUGACAUAGGUAGCUGGCAUACAGGUAUCUCUUUGCACUGUGAAAGAAAGAAAUUACUGUGAAGGAACAGAAAAUGAAGAUAUCAAGUGGCCUGUAGUCAGAGGAUGUUGCAUUGUUUUGGGCCUUAUCAAUUGCUCCUAGCCUUUAACCUUGCCUUUAAAAAAUUCUUUUCUUUCCACUUUGGAGGAUGAAAAAUUGAUUGAAUAGUGGUAUUGGAAAAUGACAAGUGUGAAGAAUAGUAACUGUGAUACAUUUCAUUUUUGUGUCAUAGCUGAAGCGAUGCAGAGACCAUUUCCUCACCUAUAUUUUGUUUGAGGCCUGCUUACAGGCCUUUGAGCACCACCAUUAACAGUAUUAUAUCACUGUGAAAGCUGGCUUUAUGCAAGGGUGCUUUCUGUUGAGUUUCCAGAGGCAUCCUAAGGACUUUGUGAUUCUUGUGGGAAUGAUUAGCAUGGGAAUAGGUAUUAGUGGUGCAGUUUCCUACAGUAUUGCUUUUCCUUUGUACUUCGGAAAAGGGCCUGAAAAGGAAAGCAAGAACUAAUAGGUGAUGUCAGUGCCCAGUAUUUGUCGCUUUCUUUAGUAGUGGUGUAGUUUAAUGAAAAGUAUAAAUCUGGAGUGCGCUGAAUGAUAUGUGUUUGGGUACAUCAAGCUUGUCACUAGUUGCGGUACAAUUUGAGGCUUAGAAAGAAAAAUCUUGUUAGUAGUGUUCUGAAGAUAGUAUUUCUGUAUGAAGCUAUCAUACAAUGUCUUGGCAUUCAGACAGCCUGGUUAUUACUGUUUUUUACAAAGUUUUACUUAUAGAGCAAGUGGAAAUGACAAGUUCUGGAGAGUUUUUAUUGUUGCUGCCCUGUGUUCUAUUAACUAGUCAUUGGGAAUCACAUUAGCUCGGUGCAGACUUUUUGAGCAGUGAUACUUGGAAGGCCACAUAGAUCAGGAGGGGAGGACCUAAAAUAUGUUAGCAAUAACAAAACACCGUCCGUGCUAGUUUUUGAGAGGUGAAAUGGUACUAGAGUAGCGCCCAUUCUCCUUUGCUGACUGACUGAAAGGCAGGCAUGAGGAAGAGGAUUUGGCCCUAAGACUUGGGAGAUGAGUGGAAAACACUUUUGUGUAUACAAGCUCUUGUUAUCAUUGCUAUCCUAUGGAAAAGGGCCUCCCCACCAUGGCUGGGGCUGCAGCUCUCAUCCUCUGCCUUUGGCAUGAAGGGCACUCAGCGCCCAGCUGUCUCAUCUGCUGGUUGGGCAGUGGCUUCUCCUUGCUGCCUCUUUCUGUGCUGCAGGUGUCUGACAGGAAUUAUAAGCCCUGUGAAAUUGCCACAUGAUCUGGUGUUCUACUGAGAAUUUUAUUCUAAGACAAGAUCACGUUUUCCAUGAAUGCGGGCGAACUCAAAGCACCGUAUUUGUGAUUUGUAGGCCUCGUAUACUUAGGCAUUCCUGAGGGGAUAAUGUUUGUUUUCAGAUCUCCUGUGUAUAUAUUUUAUGUAAGAAUACUUUUUUGUUAGUGGGCCCUCUGGCAGCUUGUAGUGGUAUUUUGUCUACGUAGAAGAAUUCAAGCCAAGUUUAUUUGAAGAAGGUUUAUGUGAGGUGGAAGAAUUGACAGAAAUAACAUCAUUUUAAAAUUCCUUUUUUUUUUGAGGCAUAAUUAGUGCUUUAUGUUGUUGAUAACUUAUGACUCUUCAUGUUCUACUCUUCUGUUAGUCAGAAUGACAAAUUAGAAAACUCUUUGGACGCCUUCUUGGAUACAUUUUACAUAAAGUACUGUUUGAUCUACCAAAAAAAAAAAAGUGCUAGUAUAGUAUUUUUGUGGAUAGUGCCAUGCUAGUAUUACCCUCCUGUUCCUCUUUCCUGAAUCAGUAUACACUGCUUAGUGGUGUGUGCCCUCUGCUAUUCUGAAAUCCUAAGUUCCGUACUAAUGAAGAGAUUAGGUAUUUGUGUUUUUUUUUAAAGUCAUUAUAAUACUAUUACUUUAUUAUUAUUGUUUUAAUUUCUCCGCUGAUAGUCAUUGCUGAAGUCAGUUGCCCUCUAAGUGAAGAUUCAAGGAAUGUGGUUCUAUACAUACAAUUUUUAAUGACAGUUGAGAGACAUUUUAUAAAAACACCAGUUUCUCCUUUUUAAAGAUUUGAUUAUAAAGUCAACCAAAAAAAGGAACCAACCACUUUCACAGAGAGUUACCACAGAUUCUUUUCUGAAAAUGAGGACUAUACUCCAUGUAAAUUAGUUCAAACAUCAUAGUUGCUAUCUCUGCAAGUUUGCAGGAGGCGGCAGAUGAAGAGGAAGUUGUGUGCCUACAGUGAUUAUGCAACUGGAAGGAGAUUAUUGUUAUGUCUGGGAAAACAGUUAAUACUUUGCAAAGUGUAUAAUGUUUCCCUUGUUACGUUACACUUAAAAUUGUCCUAUUUUCACUUCUUCUAUGCCUACCUCCAGAAAAAGACUAAUUCUUUUUUUCUCAAUUUUUUUUCACAGCACACUUGAGAUGUAUCUGAGUGCUGGGACCCCCCAUACUCACAGACUCUAAAACUCCUUGCCUGCCUUGCUGAGUCUCGAUUUGAUCUGCUGUGUUGGAAUACGUGAUUGCUCUCAAGUACAUGUGGAAUCAUUUUAAAAUAAUAAUAAAUAUAUUUCCACGUAUCAACUUUUCAUGGGCCGUAAUAUUCAGAACAGUGAUCAAAUACACACUCUUUCUUUAAGAAAACAUUUACGUAACAUUUAACACAGUAAUGUAUGCUUGGUUAAAUAGGUGUAUCUCCUGUGCAAGAAGUCAAUCUUGCUUUUGUAACUGAUUAUCAUAGAUCUAUCAGCUUGGUUAUUGUAUGAGUACAGUUACAGAACCGCAAACAGUAACUGAAAAAACAUUAAUAUGGUAAAAUUCAUUCUUGUGUUUGGGUUGAAAAGUGAUUGAAUGAAACUUGAGUUGCAUUUAGGUUUUGGUUGAUGGCUUCUUAUACGUACUUAUUUGAAGACUAUAAAUACCUGAAGAUAGCAGCAAUGAAUAAAAAGGUUUUGUUGGUCUAACUGUGGUGCUGUUUCUGUGACAGAACUCUUGAAUGGUUAUGUUUAUGAAGAGUUGGUGUGACUCUGAAGUGCUGUUUCCUGCUGAAAUUUGUCUGUCACACGCUGGCUAUGAGAGCCAGCUCCAGUAGGCAGGAGCUCUGCUGACUGAAAAACUUCGCACUAUGAAGAAACGCUCUGACCCACUUCAUGUAUCCUCCUGGGCUGCUGGUUACUCCUUCUCCCUGGAGCAUGAAGGAUCAAAGAUUUCCAGGUGUGGCCCAGCAUUAUUUGCUUUAGGAGAGCUGGCUGAACAGGGGGGAUAAGAGAUUUCAUGAGGGUUUCUCUAAGCAGGCACACCUCCUGUAUUGAAAUUACAUCAUUCUGCGAGGUUGUUAAAGCUGGAGGGUUGCAUACCUUGAAGCCUGUGCUGCUUCCUUCAUCUUUGCUGAGUGAAUCAAAGUGUGACUGUUUCUGUGAUGCUUAUGUUGAUGUCAUUUUAUUCUUCUAAGAAUGCUUGCUGUCCGAUGCAGGUCUGAAAUCCUUUACCAAGGUAAUUUUAGUCUUCAUAUAUCUCACUUCUUUAUAGGAAUUA